UACGAAGGGGGCUAGCGUUGCUCGGAAUCACUGGGCGUAAAGGGUGCGUAGGCGGGUCUUUAAGUCAGGGGUGAAAUCCUGGAGCUCAACUCCAGAACUGCCUUUGAUACUGAGGAUCUUGAGUUCGGGAGAGGUGAGUGGAACUGCGAGUGUAGAGGUGAAAUUCGUAGAUAUCGGGAGGAACACCGGUGGCGAAGGCGGCGACCUGGGUCGAUACUGACGCUGAUGCGCGAAAGCGUGGGGAGCAAACA
rnacentral:rRNA from 1 species